UACGUAGGGUGCGAGCGUUGUCCGGAAUUAUUGGGCGUAAAGAGCUCGUAGGCGGCUUGUCGCGUCGAAUGUGAAAACUCGGGGCUCAACUCCGAGCUUGCAUUCGAUACGGGCAGGCUAGAGUUCGGUAGGGGAGACUGGAAUUCCGGGUGUAGCGGUGGAAUGCGUAGAGAUCCGGAAGAACACCAGUGGCGAAGGCGGCCCGCUGGGCAGUGGCUGACGCUGAAGCGCGACAGCGUGGGGAGCAACAGG
rnacentral:rRNA from 1 species